rnacentral:rRNA from 1 species
CCUACGGAGGCUGCAGUGGGGAAUAUUGGACAAUGGGGGGAACCCUGAUCCAGCCAUGCCGCGUGUGUGAAGAAGGCCCUCGGGUUGUAAAGCACUUUCAGUGAGGAAGAACGCCUGGUGGUUAAUACCCAUCAGGAAAGACAUCACUCACAGAAGAAGCACCGGCUAACUCCGUGCCAGCAGCCGCGGUAAUACGGAGGGUGCGAGCGUUAAUCGGAAUUACUGGGCGUAAAGCGCGCGUAGGUGGCUUGAUAAGCCGGUUGUGAAAGCCCCGGGCUCAACCUGGGAACGGCAUCCGGAACUGUCAAGCUAGAGUGCAGGAGAGGAAGGUAGACUUCCCGGUGUAGCGGUGAAAUGCGUAGAGAUCGGGAGGAAUACCAGUGGCGAAGGCGGCCUUCUGGACUGACACCGACACUGAGGUGCGAAAGCGUGGGUAGCAAACAGGAUUAGAUACACCAGUAGUC